rnacentral:rRNA from 1 species
AUUGAACGCUAGCGGGAUGCUUUACACAUGCAAGUCGAACGAGUGGCGGACGGGUGAGUAAUAUAUCGGAACGUGCCCAGUAGCGGGGGAUAACUACUCGAAAGAGUCGCUAAUACCGCCUACUCUUGGAGCGGCCGAUGUCGGAUUAGCUAGUUGGUGGGGUAAAGGCUCACCAAGGCAACGAUCCGUAGCUGGUUUGAGAGGAGGACGAGCAACACUGGGAAUGAGACAAGGCGAAGACUACUACGUGAGGCAGCAGGGGGGCAUUUUGGACAAUGGGGGAAACUCUGAGCCAGGCAUCCCGCGUGGAUGAGAGGGACUUAGGGUUGUAAAGUACUUAUGGCAGAGAGGCGGUAUCUGCAGAAUAAGAACCGGCUAACUACGUGCCAGCAGCCGCGGUAAUAC